rnacentral:rRNA from 1 species
AAGUCGAACGGAAAGGCCCUGCUUGCAGGGUACUCGAGUGGCGAACGGGUGAGUAACACGUGGGUGAUCUGCCCUGCACUUCGGGAUAAGCUUGGGAAACUGGGUCUAAUACCGGAUAGGACCGCACUUUAGUGUGUGUGGUGGAAAGUUUUUUCGGUGUAGGAUGAGCUCGCGGCCUAUCAGCUUGUUGGUGGGGUAAUGGCCUACCAAGGCGGCGACGGGUAGCCGGCCUGAGAGGGUGUACGGCCACAUUGGGACUGAGAUACGGCCCAGACUCCUACGGGAGGCAGCAGUGGGGAAUAUUGCACAAUGGGCGCAAGCUUGAUGCAGCGACGCCGCGUGGGGGAUGAAGGCCUUCGGGUUGUAAACUCCUUUCGCUAGGGACGAAGCUUUUUGUGACGGUACCUAGAUAAGAAGCACCGGCUAACUACGUGCCAGCAGCCGCGGUAAUACGUAGGGUGCGAGCGUUGUCCGGAAUUACUGGGCGUAAAGGGCUCGUAGGUGGUUUGUCGCGUCGUCUGUGAAAUUCUGGGGCUUAACUCCGGGCGUGCAGGCGAUACGGGCAUAACUUGAGUGCUGUAGGGGUAACUGGAAUUCCUGGUGUAGCGGUGAAAUGCGCAGAUAUC